UGUGUUGGGUAUUCUUAACAUCAUUACUAAAAGUAGACUAAGUUCUAAAUCUAGCAACGGUGCCAAAAAUGCCAAACCUAUCCCUCACACCACUUAAGCCAAGUUGUCAUCCCCAGCAUGAUAUAAGAGACGCGGUAUUGAAAUAUGCAAUUGCUCUUCUAAAUAAAUAAUGAAUGGGAUCUGCAAGCGCACAGAUUAAUACUGAUGCAGCAUUUUAACCGGGAAGUAUUCCAGGUAUCGUUAUUUAUAUUUUUACCACUGGGAAGGGAUUAGUCAAUCAUCACUAUUGAUUACAGAAUAGAAUAUGAGAUUGAGCAUCUAUCAUUGCAUGUAUAAUUGAGAACAUUAUAUCUAACUCAUCAUACAGGGAUGAGUGUCACAUAAAAGAUAUAUGAAAUAAUAAUAGUGACAAGGAUAACUAAUCUGAUCUAGCCACAUAAUAAAUAUGAUAAGCACCUCAAUUAGAUACUCUAGAAAGUCAUUAGCAUGGUAUUAGAACGAACUACAAGAAUAUUCCCUAAGUUAUUCUCAACUAUAUAGUCUAGCAUUAUCAUAGUUAGUGCAAGCAUACUUAGCAAUCAUUGCGAGACAAGACUACGCCCAUGCAUAGUGAUAUUAGCAAAGAAUAUGAGAAACAUAGCAAUCACUCCCCUGUA
rnacentral:lncRNA from 1 species